UACGAAGGGGGCUAGCGUUGUUCGGAUUUACUGGGCGUAAAGCGCACGUAGGCGGUUUGUUAAGUGAGAGGUGAAAUCCCAGAGCUCAACUCUGGAACUGCCUUUCAUACUGGCAAGCUAGAGUCCGGAAGAGGUAAGUGGAACUCCUAAGUGUAGAGGUGGAAUUCGUAGAUAUUAGGAAGAACACCAGUGGCGAAGGCGGCUCACUGGUCCGGUACUGACGCUGAGG
rnacentral:rRNA from 1 species